GGGUAUAUAGCUCAGUGGCAGAGUGCCUGCCUAGCAUGCACGAGGUCCUGGUUCAAUCCCCAGUACCUCCA
rnacentral:tRNA from 1 species